UUGGAGGGCAAGUCUGGUGCCAGCAGCCGCGGUAAUUCCAGCUCCAAUAGCGUAUAUUAAAGUUGUUGCAGUUAAAAAGCUCGUAGUUGAACUUCAGGCUUGGCGGGGUGGUCUGCCUAACGGUAUGUACUAUCCGGCUGAGCCUUACCUCCUGGUGAGCCUGCAUGUCGUUUAUUCGGUGUGUAGGGGAACCAGGAAUUUUACUUUGAAAAAAUUAGAGUGUUUAAAGCAGGC
rnacentral:rRNA from 1 species